GAGUCAUUCGUUCAAGAGAAGCGGCAGAUCACAGAACAGAUGGAAGAACAUUUGUCUUUAGUGUGUCUUCAGUGGAAAUGUCCGCUAUUUUUACCUCUUCGAUUCUGCCAGCAUCUUAAAGUUUCUCAAACAAAAUGUGGACUUAAACCAAUCGGCCAAAACUUGAUGUCUCCAUACCAGCAAGUGACGAAUGCACAGUGCUUCCCUCUUUAGGAAUACUUUGAAUGUUGUCUCUGUACAUUCCUUUUUCAAUGAAAGGAAUGUGUAACCUGGUAACUUUUUUGUGAUUGCUAUCCAAUCCAUUUUUUAGGUGUUGCAAUACUGUUAAUUUUAUUUUAUGAGAAUUCUGUCAAAAGUAAUGUCUCGCUUUCCAGAGUUCUAGAGCUGUAGUAUCCUCGCUCAACCAUUCCUCCUGCCCCCAAUUUAUGGUAGGAAAACGGAUGAAGGGAGAAAUGUCAAUCAAAUUACUAUUCCAGCUUUUAUCAAGAACUUGGAAUGUUGAAAAGGCUGAGUUGGUCUUAAUUAAUCGGACAUUUCUGAAAUUUGCUUCAAAACCGACUCUGGGUUCAUUCUCAUCAAAUACACAUCGAAUUUGCCUGAUGCCAUCACCUUUGGUCAACCUAAGUAUUAAGUGAAUGUUUAGACAGAAACUGGAAAUCUGUCAGAAGAACAGUUCUUUGAGAUAACAUUUAAUCAAUUUCCUGGCUCAACAUCAUCUUUCUCUUGGAUACUGUUUUGUGGAACUCGUUUUGCAAGAAUCAGUCAAGUCUCGAACUUGAAAAUAACUUCAAACUCAAAGGGAUUAUUGGUGCUAUAUUUUUUCAGACAAGAAAAGGAAUUUAACAUGUUUGAUGUAUUUGUAAGGACAUUAAUGUCUCCUAUUCCAAACAAAAUUUUGUACGUUCUUAUACUCUGACGUCAUGACAUCAAUUAGUUUCUUUUACAACUCUCCAUUGACAGGUAAUCUAUGCAACAUGUCUACACUGGAGUAAUUCGCUCUUCUGUAAAUGAGUGUUUAACUCCGUUCCCAGGCAACGGCAAACGGUAACCAUUCUAGCUUAUCAAAAAUGCAGUUACUAUGAUUUGUAUCGGAUAUUAAUACGUUUUCUUUUAAAUCAGCUCCUGAGAGUUUAAGCUUCACCUAUUUUGUCCUUUCUAGGGCCUAUAAAAUGACUGACUGUAUAAGGGGAUUCAUUUAAGGGGCCCAUUUCUGAAGUCACUUUUUUGCUAGUAAAAAGAAUUUUUCUUUGAUAAAUCUUCGAAUUUAUGGAACUAUUUGUAACGAUGUCUCGUCUUUGACCCUUGAUAUCUGUUUUCUUGUUCCCACUUCACAAAUGGCCUUGGCAAAUUUUGAAUAUGUUUACAAUCUGCCAUGUUGAGAUAGGUUGGAGGAAUCUGCAGUAGAUAUCCCUUGCUUAUAUGUUGACUGUUCCACAAUUCAAAGAAUUGGUCUUUGAUUAAUAGUGCCUUUCAUUGUCAGCAUGUCUUUUUUUUUUUUUUUUUUUUUUUUUUUUUUUCAUCCAGCUCUUGUUCAUUCAUGUAUGUCUGUACUGGAACCGUCUCUUUUGUCAAAUAUAGCAGCUGAUGUUGAUUACAAUUUUAAAAUAUUUGUAAUCUGAAGACGGUUCUCAAACAAUUGUUAGGUGCUGACCCCUUUCUCAGAACUUCACAAGCACAGUUUUCUUAAAUUUUGGAUUAUCGGUACAUCGAUGUUUGUCUAUUGAGCAUUCCGAGUGUUUUCCCUGAGGAAGAUACUAAAUUCUACGCAAUUUAUAUUACAAAGUUGGAAGAUGUUUUCCCCAAGACCAGUCCUUAAUAUAAUCUGGUAUUCUGGAAUUAGUGAAGAUUUUAAGCUGAAGAAAAAUUGGGAUGAUGACUUGUGAAACGAAGCCCAAUUAAAGUUUAGGAGCUGGAGUAAAGCUAGUCAGGAAGCAAUUUUAUCUUUUUAUCCAAUAAUGCUAUUAAUUGAUGAAAUCUGUAUUGCAGAUAUUACAAUAUUUUUUUUUUUUUUGUAUUGGCAUUCGGUUCCUUUAAGUUUGACUUUUCUAAGCUUUAUAAAAUUCCGAAUUCUAUAUUAGGGAACUCGUUCAACAGAACCAUUUUCUAAAAUCACCUGUUUCUAGUAACAGGAAAUAUUCUACCUAAAAUGUUUACUUUGGUAAAUAUUUGAAUUUGCGGAACUAUUUCAGUGAUGCAUUUUAUUAUUUUUUAAUUUUUUAUCAUUGACCCUUCAGUUUUGAACCGAGCUGAGCUAAGCUAUACAGCGAGUGUUAAUGCUGGAACCGGAGACCAUUAUAUCUUUGGUCUUACACUCUCCCAACUGAGCUAUUUCGGCCGACGGCACGUAUUCUAUAUUUUAUUGAUUAUUUAUUAAUUAUAUUGUGAUUUUCAACAAAGAGAAUAUGAACAAGGAAGAAGAUAGUGUCACAUGGGCCGUGAGAUCAAACCGCACCAAUGCUGAUCUUCAUAUCUCAUCCUUCUAUGACCUCACUUUCAUUGCUUUGGAAAUUACUCAUUUCUUACUUUACUGCUCAGCAGGUGUUGUCUGAGUGAUACAAAGCAUCAUUCAAAGGUUGUUUGGACGGAUUCUAUGCCUCUACCACCAUCACUUCUUUUCACGUAGAUCCUGUCGGUGUCCCUAUUACUAUGGAAGUUGCCAGUGGUGGUCAGCUUUGUUGAGGAGGAACUGGUCAGCGCAGUCCCAGAAUCCUUGUUUUCGUACUGCCUCUUUAUCGGUUAUCACGACAUUUGUUUGGCAGUGAUUUGGGUGAAACAUAUUCAGAGAACCUGUGUGCAGUUUCUACAUAACAUUUAAGCAUGCUAUGAACAUGCUACAGUUUUUGGCAAUUUUAUUGAAUAAAUUUACUCUUUAAUAUUUCAAGCUAUUUUUAUGUAAUUUUGGCAAAUAAAUCUGUUAAAAUGAGA